rnacentral:rRNA from 1 species
GAUGAACGCUGGCGGCGUGCCUAAUACAUGCAAGUCGAGCGAACGGACGAGAAGCUUGCUUCUCUGAUGUUAGCGGCGGACGGGUGAGUAACACGUGGAUAACCUACCUAUAAGACUGGGAUAACUUCGGGAAACCGGAGCUAAUACCGGAUAAUAUUUUGAACCGCAUGGUUCAAAAGUGAAAGACGGUCUUGCUGUCACUUAUAGAUGGAUCCGCGCUGCAUUAGCUAGUUGGUAAGGUAACGGCUUACCAAGGCAACGAUGCAUAGCCGACCUGAGAGGGUGAUCGGCCACACUGGAACUGAGACACGGUCCAGACUCCUACGGGAGGCAGCAGUAGGGAAUCUUGCGCAAAGGGCGAAAGCCUGACGGAGCAACGCCGCGUGAGUGAUGAAGGUCUUCGGAUUGUAAAACUCUUUUAUUAGGGAAGAACAUAUGUGUAAGUAACUGUGCACGUCUUGACGGUACCUAAUCAGAAAGCCACGGCUAACUACGUG